rnacentral:rRNA from 1 species
AGCAGCCGCGGUAAUUCCAGCUCCAAUAGCGUAUAUUAAAGUUGUUGCAGUUAAAAAGCUCGUAGUUGAAUUUCGGGGUUAGUAGGCUGGUCGUGCCACUGGUAUGUACUGGUCUCACUGAUUCCUCCUUCCUGAUGAGCUGUAAUGCCAUUAAUUUGGUGUUGCAGGGAAUCUGGACUGUUACUUUAGAAAAAUUAGAGUGUUUAAAGCAGGCUAACGCUUGAAUACAUUAGCAUGGAAUAAUGAAAUAGGACGAUCGAUCCUAUUUUGUUGGUUUCUAGGAUUGACGUAAUGAUUAAUGGGGAUAGUUGGGGGCAUUAGUAUUCAAUUGUCAGAGGUGAAAUUCUUGGAUUUAUUGAAGACUAACUACUGCGAAAGCAUUUGCCAAGGAUGUUUUCAUUAAUCAAGAACGAAAGUUAGGGGAUCGAAGACGAUCAGAUACCGUCGUAGUCUUAACCAUAAACUAUGCCGACUAGGGAUCGGAUGAUGUUAAUUUUUAAUGACUCU